rfam:Rhizopogon vesiculosus strain AM-OR11-056 contig35, whole genome shotgun sequence.
AGGCAGUUGACCGAUUGGUAAUGGUGGUUAUCUGUAAAAUAAUUGGUCUCCGACCGUAAAAGGUUCGAUUCCUUUACUGCCUA